CUUGGUCAUUUAGAGGAAGUAAAAGUCGUAACAGGGUCUCCGUAUGUGAACCUGCGGUGGGAUCAAUAUCGAACCUGGCCCCCUAGCCACGUCUACCUUGCAAACCCGGGGAAGCAAACCGGGCUUCGGCGCCUCGGCGUCAAGUUUAUGCUGCAGUUGGUAGUUUGCGUCUGAAUCAAACCGAAAAACAUAAAACUUUCAACAAAGGAUCUCUUGGCUCUUGUAUCGAUGAAGAACGCAGCAAAGCGCGAAAUGUAGUGAACAUAGCAGCACAAUUGUGAAUCAUCGAAUCUUUGAACGCACAUUGCGCCUCCGGUAGCUCGGAGGCAUGCCUGUCUGAGCGUCAUUUAAAACCAUGGACCCAGGAUUGGGUCCGUAUUGGGCGUCGCCCCCCUCUCCAGAGUGGCGCGUGGCCUCAAAGACAUUGGUCUCACAUGCGGACGAGCUCCCCUGGGACAGACCGCGUGGAGACCCUAAGCAUCUGACUUUGAUCUCAGAUCAGGUAGGACUACCGCCUGAACUUAAGCAUAUCAAUAAGCGGAGGA
rnacentral:rRNA from 1 species